AGGUGCGUAACUCAGUUGGUAGAGUGCUACCUCGACAAGGUAGAAGUCAUCGGUUCGAGUCCGAUCGUGCCUACCA
rnacentral:tRNA from 1 species